rnacentral:misc_RNA from 1 species
UGGCUCUCUAUGUUUCUUUUGUUUCCACCUAUUUUCGCUUUCUUCUGGGUUAAAUGAACACACUCCAUGCUUGUUCUGAUCCAUCUCCUAUCAUUUACUAUUUAUUUAUUUAUUUCCUUUUUUUUUUGGAUGGAGUGUUUGUAACUAUUAAAAUUUUGCUUUCUAGUUAGCUUACGAUUAAGAUAAAAAAUUUUCCUUUGUAAACUUCUUGCUGAUAUUUUAUUUUUAUAUUUUGAUUUUCAGAGAAGCAGUACCAACCAA